CCUACGGGUGGCAGCAGUGGGGAAUAUUGCACAAUGGGGGAAACCCUGAUGCAGCCACGCCGCGUGAGUGACGAAGUAUUUCGGUAUGUAAAGCUCUAUCAGCAGGGAAGAAGAAAGACGGUACCUGACUAAGAAGCCCCGCCUAACUACGUGCCAGCAGCCGCGGUAAUACGUAGGGGGCAGGCGUUAUCCGGAUUUACGGGGUGUAAAGGGAGCGUAGACGGCUGUGCAGGUAUGAGGUGAAAGCCCGUGGCUCAACCGCGGAACUGCUUUGGAAACUGUAUAGCUUGAGUGCUGGUGAGGCAGGCGGAAUGCGUAGUGUAGCGGUGAAAUGCGUAGAUAUUAGGCAGAACACCAGUGGCGAAGGCGGCCUGCGAGACAGAAACUGACGCUGAGGCUCGAAAGCGUGGGGAGCAAACAGGAUUAGAUACCCGUGUAGUC
rnacentral:rRNA from 1 species